rnacentral:rRNA from 1 species
AUUGAACGCUGGCGGCAGGCCUAACACAUGCAAGUCGAGCGAGCGGCGGACGGGUGAGUAAUGUAUGGGGACUGCCCGAUAGAGGGGGAUAACUACUGGAAACGGUGGCUAAUACCGCAUACUAUCGGAUAACCCAUAUGGGAUUAGCUAGUAGGGGGGGUAAAGGCGCACAUAGGCGACGAUCUCUAGCUGGUCUGAGAGGAUGAUGAGCCCACCUGGGACUGGGACACGGCCCAGACUCCUACGGAGGCAGCAGUGGGAACUUUUGCACAAUGGGCGCAAGCCGGACGCAGCCAUGCGGCGUAUAUGAGGAGGGCCUUAGGGUUGUAAAGUACUUUCAUCGGGGAGGCGUUACCCGCAGAAGAAGCACCGGCUAACUCCGUGCCAGCAGCCGCGGUAAUUC